GUUAUAUGGUCAAGUGAAGAAGCGCAUACGGUGGAUGCCUUGGCAGUCAGAGGCGAUGAAAGACGUGGUAGCCUGCGAAAAGCUUCGGGGAGUCGGCAAACAGACUGUGAUCCGGAGAUGUCUGAAUGGGGGAACCCAGCCAUCAUAAGAUGGUUAUCUUGUACUGAAUACAUAGGUGCAAGAGGCGAACCAGGGGAACUGAAACAUCUAAGUACCCUGAGGAAAAGAAAUCAACCGAGAUUCCCUUAGUAGUGGCGAGCGAACGGGGACCAGCCCUUAAGUUGUAUUGAGAUUAGCGGAACGUUCUGGAAAGGACGGCCAUAGUGGGUGAUAGCCCUGUACGCGAAAAUCCCUUUGCAAUGAAAUCGAGUAGGACGGGGCACGAGAAACCUUGUCUGAAUAUGGGGGGACCAUCCUCCAAGGCUAAAUACUACUGACUGACCGAUAGUGAACCAGUACCGUGAGGGAAAGGCGAAAAGAACCGCGGAGAGCGGAGUGAAAUAGAUCCUGAAACCGUAUGCGUACAAGCAGUGGGAGCCCACUUUGUUGGGUGACUGCGUACCUUUUGUAUAAUGGGUCAGCGACUUAUUUUCAGUGGCGAGCUUAACCGAAUAGGGGAGGCGUAGCGAAAGCGAGUCUUAAUAGGGCGUCUAGUCGCUGGGAAUAGACCCGAAACCGGGCGAUCUAUCCAUGGGCAGGUUGAAGGUUGGGUAACACUAACUGGAGGACCGAACCGACUACCGUUGAAAAGUUAGCGGAUGACCUGUGGAUCGGAGUGAAAGGCUAAUCAAGCUCGGAGAUAGCUGGUUCUCCUCGAAAGCUAUUUAGGUAGCGCCUCAUGUAUCACUGUAGGGGGUAGAGCACUGUUUCGGCUAGGGGGUCAUCCCGACUUACCAAACCGAUGCAAACUCCGAAUACCUACAAGUGCCGAGCAUGGGAGACACACGGCGGGUGCUAACGUCCGUCGUGAAAAGGGAAACAACCCAGACCGUCAGCUAAGGUCCCAAAGUCAUGGUUAAGUGGGAAACGAUGUGGGAAGGCUUAGACAGCUAGGAGGUUGGCUUAGAAGCAGCCACCCUUUAAAGAAAGCGUAAUAGCUCACUAGUCGAGUCGGCCUGCGCGGAAGAUGUAACGGGGCUCAAACCAUGCACCGAAGCUACGGGUAUCAUCUUAGGAUGAUGCGGUAGAGGAGCGUUCUGUAAGCCUGUGAAGGUGAGUUGAGAAGCUUGCUGGAGGUAUCAGAAGUGCGAAUGCUGACAUGAGUAACGACAAUGGGUGUGAAAAACACCCACGCCGAAAGACCAAGGUUUCCUGCGCAACGUUAAUCGACGCAGGGUUAGUCGGUCCCUAAGGCGAGGCUGAAAAGCGUAGUCGAUGGAAAACAGGUUAAUAUUCCUGUACUUCUGGUUAUUGCGAUGGAGGGACGGAGAAGGCUAGGCCAGCCUGGCGUUGGUUGUCCAGGUUUAAGGUGGUAGGCUGAGAUCUUAGGUAAAUCCGGGAUCUUAAGGCCGAGAGCUGAUGACGAGUGUUCUUUUAGAACACGAAGUGGUUGAUGCCAUGCUUCCAAGAAAAGCUUCUAAGCUUCAGGUAACCAGGAACCGUACCCCAAACCGACACAGGUGGUUGGGUAGAGAAUACCAAGGCGCUUGAGAGAACUCGGGUGAAGGAACUAGGCAAAAUGGCACCGUAACUUCGGGAGAAGGUGCGCCGGUGGAGGUGAAGCAUUUACUGCGUAAGCCCCUGCCGGUCGAAGAUACCAGGCCGCUGCGACUGUUUAUUAAAAACACAGCACUCUGCAAACACGAAAGUGGACGUAUAGGGUGUGACGCCUGCCCGGUGCCGGAAGGUUAAUUGAUGGGGUUAGCGCAAGCGAAGCUCUUGAUCGAAGCCCCGGUAAACGGCGGCCGUAACUAUAACGGUCCUAAGGUAGCGAAAUUCCUUGUCGGGUAAGUUCCGACCUGCACGAAUGGCGUAACGAUGGCGGCGCUGUCUCCACCCGAGACUCAGUGAAAUUGAAAUCGCUGUGAAGAUGCAGUGUAUCCGCGGCUAGACGGAAAGACCCCGUGAACCUUUACUAUAGCUUUGCACUGGACUUUGAAUUUGCUUGUGUAGGAUAGGUGGGAGGCUUUGAAGCGUGGACGCCAGUCUGCGUGGAGCCAACCUUGAAAUACCACCCUGGCAACUUUGAGGUUCUAACUCAGGUCCGUUAUCCGGAUCGAGGACAGUGUAUGGUGGGUAGUUUGACUGGGGCGGUCUCCUCCUAAAGAGUAACGGAGGAGUACGAAGGUGCGCUCAGACCGGUCGGAAAUCGGUCGUAGAGUAUAAAGGCAAAAGCGCGCUUGACUGCGAGACAGACACGUCGAGCAGGUACGAAAGUAGGUCUUAGUGAUCCGGUGGUUCUGUAUGGAAGGGCCAUCGCUCAACGGAUAAAAGGUACUCCGGGGAUAACAGGCUGAUACCGCCCAAGAGUUCAUAUCGACGGCGGUGUUUGGCACCUCGAUGUCGGCUCAUCACAUCCUGGGGCUGAAGCCGGUCCCAAGGGUAUGGCUGUUCGCCAUUUAAAGUGGUACGCGAGCUGGGUUUAGAACGUCGUGAGACAGUUCGGUCCCUAUCUGCCGUGGACGUUUGAGAUUUGAGAGGGGCUGCUCCUAGUACGAGAGGACCGGAGUGGACGAACCUCUGGUGUUCCGGUUGUCACGCCAGUGGCAUUGCCGGGUAGCUAUGUUCGGAAAAGAUAACCGCUGAAAGCAUCUAAGCGGGAAACUUGCCUCAAGAUGAGAUCUCACUGGAACCUUGAGUUCCCU
rnacentral:rRNA from 1 species